rnacentral:lncRNA from 1 species
CCUUUAAGUAAUCAACCAAACCAUUUUUCUCAUUCAAAAUGACUAUAAGCUAACUAACUUGGAAGCCAUUCAAUAACCAGUUAACUUCCAAAAUAUAAACAUUCUGCUGCUCAUAAUAACAUCUGCCCCUAAUAUUGCUCAAUUUUAGGACAGUGUUCACAUAGUAACAUGAAACCUCUCACAACCUGAGCUUAAAACCCCUCCUUCACAACAAACAAACCAUGCUUCAAAACCAUUACAAGGUUCAAAUCCUUAUUUCCAAAAGAGGAUAGUAAGCACAUGAGUUGGCUGUAUCCAAAAACUUUAACUAAGCUACUACUAGCUAAUUUCAUAUGAGUCUAAGAACAUACAUAAAAAACAACUCCAUUUAAUAGAAAUACAACACAGUAAUUUAAGACAUGGUGAAAUGAGCCAAAGCGAAGAAAGAGAAUCAGCCUGAAUAGUCUAAAGAAAAUGUGCAAAGAAAAUAAAAUCCUAAACAAAAGAACAACUUCUGAUUGAUUUCAGCUAAGAAAACAUGUCUUUCAAGUAACAAGCAACAUUCAGAACUUCAUUUCCAACUCAUGGUUCAGAGUAAUACCUGGCAAUAAAAGGAAACAAAAAGAAAUGAAGAAUCAGCGGACAACAGCAGCAGAAAUCAGCUUGGAAACCAGCAGUGAAACAAUAUUCUAACAACAACUUAAAAGCAGGCUUUAAAACCCAAAACCUAAGCCAUUUUAACCAAGUGCAAGGUCUUUGAAACUUUCAAAAAUUAUAGCUAACAAGGAAGAUCAAAAAACCAGAAACCAAGCCAAAUUUUGAGUAGUGUUUUUUCACCAAGAAAUGCGGGGAAUUCAGUGUUAUUUUAGAGUCAGCCAUUUCAGUUUUUUUUUCCAGAAUUUGUAAUAUCUCCAAUCUCUAACUUUUGAUGAAGAAAGAGUUUCUUUAUAGGCAAGUUUUAGGGUAGCAUAAAAGGGAUUCAGAUUUUCACUUAUAUCCUUUUCAAAUUCUCAUUUUUGCUCAAGUACCCUUAAUUUAAAAUCAACAUUUUCAGUCUAGUCCUAAAGGCACCUUCCUAGCAGCUUCCUAAAUCAGUUAUAAAGAUAUUCCCUAGCCUAAAUUCCUAGACUACCCCUUAAACCCUUGCUAAUUACUUCAGAAAUCUCAUGGGUCAAGUUGACCAAAUAACUUAAACCCAAUUGAACGGGUUGCUCUUUGCAAAUGGGUCAGAGACAACCCAAAGCCCGAACGACAAAAUUAUCCAACUAAAAUCUGUAAGCACAGAAUAACACAAAUACUGAAAUGGUUUCAACAAUUAAAAAUCUAAACUAAAUGACUGAUUAACUAAUGAACUAGAAUUAACAAAUCAAAACUAAACUAAUUAACAGACUAAAUGCACUAAUUAAAGAAAAAGAUUUAAAACUAACAUGCAUAAAAAACGACUCAGGAGAAACUGGAAAAACAAAGAGGAAUUAAGAAGAAGAGAAAGAAGCAGAAGAUAGAAUAAAAUGAAAGAAAAAUGAGGAAAAGAUAACAAAAGAAAAGGAAAAAUACCUAAAAAUAUCUCGGACAGCAAAGAAUUGGAACGAGCCUUCGAAUCUUCAAUAUUUAGGCCGAGUUUGACAUUAAUCGUGUGUUCUUAUCAAGAACACACGAGUAAUAUCCAACUAGACCCCAAUCUUCACCGAAAUCUCGAGUUUGAGGUUUUUGGGGGUUUUAGGGUUCGAACUCAAUUUAAGAUUCGACGAGUUUGGGAUAGCUUCGAGGGAAAAGAGUGAUGGAUUUGGUAUGCGGGAGUCAAGAGGGUUAUGUGGUGUGGAUUUGGGGCGGAUUGGAGGCGGCGGCGCCGGCUAGAGACGGUGAAAAAUGGGGCCGGCGCUUUAGGGUUCUUGUUUGGUCUCUGAAGAGAAGGGGAAAUGAGAG